UCUUGAUACUUGAUUGAAUAGAGCAAUAGAAACUCCAACAGCAGCUAGCUCCACUGGACCUAUUCGGCCGAUAAAUGCUGUGUCCACCAGAGAGGCAAUAGGGUCUGCUGUCAAAGCCAGCGCCGCAGGCAAUGCAAUACGUGCUAUUUCUACCCCAAGUUCAUCCAGUUUAAGGACAAGUCUGAAAUCUUUAAAGAAAAUGCAUGCAGGUGUUCUCUUCUUCUCCAUGGAUGGAUCAUCUCCCUGAUCCAUCAUCGAUCAUUGGGAGAGCCAAACCACCAAAUUGUCUUUUCUAGGAACCUGAAUAAGCCAGUGGUGAUAUAGUGAGAACAUCACAUAUUAAACUCCACAACCUACAGAUUCCACAACUGAUAUAAAUAGAUUGCCUUACAGCCCAGAAGCCCAAGUAGCCACUGGCAAAUUAAAGCAGAAUCAUACAAAUGAAAAAUGUGAAGUCAGGACCAUAAAUUAAUAAUUCAAAAUUUGAAAUUUCUAUAACGAUUGAAACUGGAAGAUUGAAUUCAAAGUUGAGAGAAAAAGCAACACCACUCACUUUCAAUGGAAGACCCCAAGAAGUUUCCCCAGAAGAUCAUCAACUCAAGAUUGGACUUUAACCAUCUCUGAAACCUCAAUACUUGAAUUUCAUUGGCGAAAGAAAAAGAAAAAGUAGCUCCUAACUCAAAACACCAAAAGAACAAAUAUUGAACAGAGGUAGAUAAUCCCUCGUUCUCAUCCGAAGCUGAAGAUGUGUGUGCACUGAACUUAGUUGCACGCUUCUGAAAGAAAAAGAAAAAGAAAGAGAGAGAAAGGACUUGUCUUUGUCCAAAAUGGAAGCCGUUUAAGGCCACAAGUUUGGCCUCCAAAGUGUGAUUGUUAUUUAAAGAAUAACAUAAUGGAGGGGUCCCUUGCUCAAUGGAAA
rnacentral:misc_RNA from 1 species